UAGGGAAUCUUCGGCAAUGGACGGAAGUCUGACCGAGCAACGCCGCGUGAGUGAAGAAGGUUUUCGGAUCGUAAAGCUCUGUUGUAAGAGAAGAACGAGUGUGAGAGUGGAAAGUUCACACUGUGACGGUAUCUUACCAGAAAGGGACGGCUAACUACGUGCCAGCAGCCGCGGUAAUACGUAGGUCCCGAGCGUUGUCCGGAUUUAUUGGGCGUAAAGCGAGCGCAGGCGGUUAGAUAAGUCUGAAGUUAAAGGCUGUGGCUUAACCAUAGUACGCUUUGGAAACUGUUUAACUUGAGUGCAAGAGGGGAGAGUGGAAUUCCAUGUGCAGCGGUGAAAUGCGUAGAUAUAUGGAGGAACACCGGUGGCGAAAGCGGCUCUCUGGCUUGUAACUGACGCUGAGGCUCGAAAGCGUGGGGAGCAAACAGGAUUAGAUACCCUGGUAGUCCACGCCGUAACGAUGAGUGCUAGGUGUUAGACCCUUUCCGGGGUUUAGUGCCGCAGCUAACGCAUUAAGCACUCCGCCUGGGGAGUACGACCGCAAGGUU
rnacentral:rRNA from 1 species